rnacentral:rRNA from 1 species
GGGCGAGAGCCUGAACCAGCCAUGCCGCGUGAAGGAUGAAGGCGUUCUGCGUUGUAAACUUCUUUUGCGAGGGAAGAAACCUGAUUUUUCUAAAUCAGCCGACGGUACCUCGAGAAUAAGCACCGGCUAACUCCGUGCCAGCAGCCGCGGUAAUACGGAGGGUGCAAGCGUUAUCCGGAUUUACUGGGUUUAAAGGGUGUGUAGGCGGGCUAUUAAGUCAGUGGUGAAAUCUCUGGGCUCAACCCAGAAACUGCCAUUGAUACUAUUAGUCUUGAAUGUUGUUGAAGUGGGCGGAACGGGUCAUGUAGCGGUGAAAUGCAUAGAUAUGACCCGGAACACCGAUUGCGAAGGCAGCCCACUAAGCAAAGAUUGACGCUGAGGCACGAAAGCGUGGGGAUCAAACAGGAUUAGAUACCCUGGUAGUCCACGCCCUAAACGAUGAUUACUCGACGUUUGCGAUACACAGUGAGCGUCCAAGCGAAAGCAUUAAGUAAUCCACCUGGGAAGUACGUUCGCAAGAAUGAAACUC